rnacentral:rRNA from 1 species
GACAGAGGUCCCGAGCGUUAGGCGGAAUCACUGGGCUUAAAGCGUGUGUAGGCGGAUCGUUAAGUACCUUGUGAAAUCCCACGGCUUAACCGUGGAACUGCUUGGUAUACUGGCGAUCUUGAGCCACCUAGGGGCAACCGGAACAAAUGGUGGAGCGGUGAAAUGCGUAGAUAUCAUUUGGAACGCCAAUGGUGAAAACAGGUUGCUGGGGGUGUGCUGACGCUGAGACACGAAAGCCAGGGGAGCGAACGGG